GUCUAAGUACAUGCCGUAUUAAGGCAAAACCAUGUAUUGGUUCAUUACACCAGUUAUGGCUCCUUGGAUCGUAUUUUACUACUUGGAUAGCUGUGGUAAUUUUAAAUUUAAUUCAUGCAACAGACCUCCGACCCUCUCGGCAUGAGUGCUUUUACUAGAUCAAAACCAAUCGGACCUCUUGUUAGUAUUACGUGGUGACUCUACAUAACUUUGGGCUGAUCCCACGGGCUCGUCCCGGUCACGGAUCUUCGUUUAUUUACAUUACAAUAUUUAGCCUUUCUCAUCAUUUAGUUCUUCCGAG
rnacentral:ncRNA from 1 species